CAGUCGCCGCGGUAAUACGGAGGGUGCGAGCGUUAAUCGGAAUAACUGGGCGUAAAGGGCACGCAGGCGGUGACUUAAGUGAGGUGUGAAAGCCCCGGGCUUAACCUGGGAAUUGCAUUUCAUACUGGGUCGCUAGAGUACUUUAGGGAGGGGUAGAAUUCUACGUGUAGCGGUGAAAUGCGUAGAGAUGUGGAGGAAUACCGAAGGCGAAGGCAGCCCCUUGGGAAUGUACUGACGCUCAUGUGCGAAAGCGUGGGGAGCAAACAGGAUUAGAUACCCCCGUAGUCCCUGUCUCUUAUAC
rnacentral:rRNA from 1 species